GCCGCCCUAGCUCAGCAUGGUAGAGCGUCGGACUGUUAAUCCGUUGGUCGCCAGUUCAAGUCUGGUGGGCGGCGCCA
rnacentral:tRNA from 1 species